ACAUUGCUGCUCUGCUUGCUGGAAGUCUGAGGCUUGGCUUGGCUUGACUUGGGGCACUGUGGGUGAGGAAUAAUAAUAUUCAUUCUUUUUGAUGACCCAAUACCGACCUGUGCUGCCCUUGAUGGGAAUGGCCUUAAACUGCAAGAGAGAGUCUCUGUCCCCAGCAUCUGCAGAAAUCGGUCAAUGGGACUUAACUGUCGAAUGGCAUUAUAGUUGGAUGCAAUAUGCAGGCAUGGUCACUGCUUCUGAGGGGAUGAAACCUGCCAAAUGUCAGACUGACAGCUGCAGUGGUUCUCCUGUAGAGGCAGGAGUUUACUGUUUGGGAUGGGGACAGUCGGAAUCAUAGGAGGGGCAGAUGGUGAUGGUGCAAAGAAAGAACAUGGAUCCCCAGGAAAGACUGGUGUGGGGGAAACUUCACACCCCAGCAAUGACUCUCUUAACCCAAGGCACUACGCUGAGCAAGUCACCUGGUCACAGUCUUCUCUACUAUGGAACUGAAGCAGGAUAAAAGAAAUGAGCAAGCACAUCCCUCGGCAUUGGUGGCUCUAUUGUGCCAUUUUUGGCUCUCUUAAAAACAAUGGUCUCUGUCCAGUCUCAGCUUUGGAGUCUCCUUAUCGUCGCUACUGCGCUGCAUCACUCUCCCAACCUUUUCUUGGCAUUCAGGAAGGAAAAGGAUACAGAGCAAGCGAAGACAGCCAUGAUGGGGGAUGGAUCAGUUUUUGCUAAAACUGCGUUAUUACAUUCUUCUCUGCGUGUCAAGGAACAAAACCACAAGCAUUUUGCCUGCCUCUUUCGGUCGCAGUCGAGGCAGCAGAAAAGCCACAGGACAAACCUGGGACGGGAAAAAAACCCAUUGAAAAUAAAUCAUGUUCUUUUGUCAGGGGCCUGAAGCCUUUUACAAUCAGAUCUUCAUCUGACUUGGCUCAGUCUAGUGGAAGCAGGAAAUGACUGUGCUAUGGAGGUUGCUUUUGCCUAUUGCAAUCAGUGGCAUUCUUCUGCUUUCCUCUGUGUUGAUGCUUUUUAGGACCUGCAAGAUAGGCAUGAAAUUGGUGAUCCCAUAUUCUCAGGACUGAGGACCUCAUGCUGAGAGAAUCUGACCUCAGAUCGCUUUCCCCACAGCUCUUGGUAGCAACUAAUCCUGCUAGUUGGCUGGAGGAGGUGCAUGGAUUCCUGCUUCGGUCAAGACACUAGCAAUGCUUCGCAUUUUAAUGUUGAACGUGGCUAAUCUGCACUUCUUGACUCUGUGCAAAAACUGAAAUACAGCUAUGCUUCACAAUUGGUGUACUGGUCUCUGGAUAUUGCAAAGCAGUGCUCGGUAGCGGCCGGUGGGGUGGCAUGGGUGAGGCUGCGUUGCUCUCCCGGCUUCCCGACACUGCAAGUCAUUGCUGCUGACCGAGAGGGGAGAGGAGAAGGGGGGCAAGGUGUGGGGACUUCAGUGUGGUGCUGUUGGUCAGUGACGCAGGCUGUGAGACUCACAGACAAGGUUUUUAGCAGAGAGAGAGAAACCUGAAGCAGAAGGGUUAAGCUGUGAGAACAGAGUGCCAGACAAUCAAGGUCAGUGGCUGGCUGGGAGUGUGAUAAGGUGGGAAACUGGCAGGAACUCAGUGUGGGGGAAGAAAUGUCAAUGGAGAGAGCUGUGUCUAAUGUCUUUGCCUAGUAAAGACUCUUACAAGAAACUUGCCUGGCCUGUCUUAUUCCUGUUCUAUACGGCGCUUGAAU